rnacentral:rRNA from 1 species
CGGGAGGCAGCAGUGGGGAAUUUUCCGCAAUGGGCGAAAGCCUGACGGAGCAAUCUCGCGUGAGGGAUGACUGCCUAUGGGUUGUAAACCUCUUUUUUCAGGGAGGAAUAAAUGACGUGUACCUGAAGAAUAAGCAUCGGCUAACUCCGUGCCAGCAGCCGCGGUAAUACGGAGGAUGCAAGUGUUAUCCGGAAUCACUGGGCGUAAAGCGUCUGUAGGUGGUUUAAUAAGUCAACUGUUAAAUCUUGAAGCUCAACUUCAAAAUCGCAGUCGAAACUAUUAGACUAGAGUAUAGUAGGGGUAAAGGGAAUUUCCAGUGGAGCGGUGAAAUGCGUAGAGAUUGGAAAGAACACCGAUGGCGAAGGCACUUUACUGGGCUAUUACUGACACUCGGAGACGAAAGCUAGGGUAGCAAAUGGGAUUAGAUACCCCAGUAGUCCUAGCUGUAAACAAUGGAUACUAGAUGUUGAACAGAUCGACCUGUGCAGUAUCAAAGCUAACGCGUUAAGUAUCCCGCCUGGGAAGUAUGCUCGCAAGAGUGAAACUCAAAGGAAUUG